CCUACGGGUGGCUGCAGUGGGGAAUAUUGGACAAUGGGGGCAACCCUGAUCCAGCCAUGCCGCGUGUGUGAAGAAGGCCCUCGGGUUGUAAAGCACUUUCAGUGAGGAAGAACGCCUGGUGGUUAAUACCCAUCAGGAAAGACAUCACUCACAGAAGAAGCACCGGCUAACUCCGUGCCAGCAGCCGCGGUAAUACGGAGGGUGCGAGCGUUAAUCGGAAUUACUGGGCGUAAAGCGCGCGUAGGUGGCUUGAUAAGCCGGUUGUGAAAGCCCCGGGCUCAGCCUGGGAACGGCAUCCGGAACUGUCAAGCUAGAGUGCAGGAGAGGAAGGUAGAAUUCCCGGUGUAGCGGUGAAAUGCGUAGAGAUCGGGAGGAAUACCAGUGGCGAAGGCGGCCUUCUGGACUGACACUGACACUGAGGUGCGAAAGCGUGGGUAGCAAACAGGAUUAGAUACCCCUGUAGUC
rnacentral:rRNA from 1 species